rnacentral:rRNA from 1 species
GCAAGUCGAACGAGGGCUUCGGCCCUAGUGGCGCACGGGUGAGUAACGCGUGGGAACCUGCCCUGUGGUACGGAAUAACUCCGGGAAACUGGAGCUAAUACCGUAUGUGUCCUGCGGGACAAAGAUUUAUCGCCAUGGGAUGGGCCCGCGUAGGAUUAGCUUGUUGGUGGGGUAACGGCCUACCAAGGCAACGAUCCUUAGCUGGUCUGAGAGGAUGAUCAGCCACACUGGGACUGAGACACGGCCCAGACUCCUACGGGAGGCAGCAGUGGGGAAUAUUGGACAACGGGCGCAAGCCUGAUCCAGCAAUGCCGCGUGAGUGAUGAAGGCCUUCGGGUUGUAAAGCUCUUUCGCACGCGACGAUGAUGACGGUAGCGUGAGAAGAAGCCCCGGCUAACUUCGUGCCAGCAGCCGCGGUAAUACGAAGGGGGCUAGCGUUGUUCGGAAUUACUGGGCGUAAAGGGCGCGUAGGCGGUACUUCAAGUCAGGCGUGAAAGCCCCGGGCUCAACCUGGGAACCGCGCUUGAGACUGGAGAACUAGAGUUCGGGAGAGGAUGGUGGAAUUCCCAGUGUAGAGGUGAAAUUCGUAGAUAUUGGGAAGAACACCGAUGGCGAAG